GGGUUUAAAGGGAGCGUAGGCGGACGCUUAAGUCAGUUGUGAAAGUUUGCGGCUCAACCGUAAAAUUGCAGUUGAUACUGGCGACCUUGAGUGCAACAGAGGUAGGCGGAAUUCGUGGUGUAGCGGUGAAAUGCUUAGAUAUCACGAAGAACUCCGAUUGCGAAGGCAGCCUGCUAAGCUGCAACUGACAUUGAGGCUCGAAAGUGUGGGUAUCAAACAGGAUUAGAUACCCUGGUAGUCCACACAGUAAACGAUGAAUACUCGCUGUUUGCGAUAUACAGCAAGCGGCCAAGCGAAAGCGUUAAGUAUUCCACCUGGGGAGUACGCCGGCAACGGUGAAACUCAAAGGAAUUGACGGGGGCCCGCACAAGCGGAGGAACAUGUGGUUUAAUUCGAUGAUACGCGAGGAACCUUACCCGGGCUUAAAUUGCAGAUGAAUUACGGUGAAAGCCGUAAGCCGCAAGGCAUCUGUGAAGGUGCUGCAUGGUUGUCGUCAGCUCGUGCCGUGAGGUGUCGGCUUAAGUGCCAUAACGAGCGCAACCCUUAUCUUUAGUUACUAACAGGUCAUGCUGAGGACUCUAGAGAGACUGCCGUCGUAAGAUGUGAGGAAGGUGGGGAUGACGUCAAAUCAGCACGGCCCUUACGUCCGGGGCUACACACGUGUUACAAUGGGGGGUACAGAAGGCAGCUACACGGCGACGUGGUGCUAAUCCCAAAAGCCUCUCUCAGUUCGGAUUGGAGUCUGCAACCCGACUCCAUGAAGCUGGAUUCGCUAGUAAUCGCGCAUCAGCCACGGCGCGGUGAAUACGUUCCCGGGCCUUGUACACACCGCCCGUCAAGCCAUGAAAGCCGGGGGUACCUGAAGUGCGUAACCGCAAGGAGCGCCCUAGGGUAAAACUGGUGAUUGGGGCUAAGUCGUAACAAGGUAGCCGUACCGGAAGGUGCGGCUG
rnacentral:rRNA from 1 species